AUCAUAAGCUUGUACAUCUUAUAUGUCGAACUUUUGUGUUAUGAUGAAAGUCUUUAAGACUAUUUUAAAUCGAUAAAGGAGAAUUUAUCAUUUAAUCCUUAAAUGAGUUUGCGAUCAAAUGAUAUGCUGUUACUAGAAUGAUGGAUUUAUCAAAUGUAGGUCAUUGUGUGCCAUAUAAGUUGGUUAUCCUCUUGAUCAAGGAGCGUGGAGACACUGGUAUGGCAUGCAGGUAAAAUGUAGAAGUAUAUUUUAGUGAAUAUGACCAACUCCGAAGCACUCUGCUAUCAAGAGUUACUCUGAAGGGAUAUGGGUAUAAGUAUCCCUCCGAUCUGAGAUCACAACUUGCAAGCAACUCACUGUACUUUGAUGCCAGACUACCUAAAUUUUUAAUUCAGGGUCAGAAUAUUUCUAGGCAUAGUCAAGUACUUAUGAAGUCGGUGUGUGAGUCAACAUGAAAUUGAUCACUAAAAGGGAAUGGAGAGAAUACUUUUUCAAUUUAGUAAGACCUUGGCCAGGAUAGUUCUUGUGAGGAGUCAUGGGAUUUAUUAGGUUAAGACACAUAAUAAAUGCACUAUUAGGAGUCAAUAGUUUAAAAUUCUAAGUCAUCCUA
rnacentral:lncRNA from 1 species